UAUCGCUCUGUAUACUGUGUAUAACCUUAUAUACAAUAUAACGUUUCGUCUGUCACGAUUUCAGUCUGGCAAACACAAGAGCACAUCUAUCAUAAGCAUAACUUCUAAGCCAUGGGAGACAGUAGUAUUGCAGGUUCAGACAUGAUGCUGUCUUUGACGGACCUGAAAUUGAACGAGAUAGGGGAGGCUCUGGGGGUCAACGAGAAUCUGAUGAC